ensembl:lncRNA
GAAGGUUUUUGCUGUCUCUCUGAUAGGUUUACUUGUUUCAGCCCACAUGAGGAUGGGCACUUGCACUGACAUCUCUUUGUAAGUCAAAUAUUGAGAAUUCCAGUGAACAACUAACAAAUACAAGUUUGAAUCUGUAUCAUUUCCAGAUGUUUUAUCAACCAGUUGCUUGUCAGUCAACUGUCCAAAUAGUAUUGAGCCUCUGAAAAUUGGUGACUAUGUAUAAAAAUACUUUAGCACCUUAAAAGUUAGCUCAAUGCUUUUGUUCAAUCCCUUGAAUUAAAAUUGAAACGCUGUAGUUAGAUCAUAUCUUGAUUGUUUGAUCUAAAAUCAGGGUGGUGGUGCAGGGAGAAAAAACUACAAGAAACUAUGCAUUUGUCCAAGGACUAAUGGACCUAUAGGACCAUGCAGAUCCUGCCUUUAUUCUAGUUUAUAUUCCCCGCAUGAUAUGGUGUGAAAAACUGGACAGAGAAAAGGUGGAGGAGUCUAGUUCUCUUUUAGACUAUUUGUAUUACAAUAUGACAAAAGUUAUUGUGAGUUCUUUGUCCAGUGACAUGCAAAGCAAUAUGCCUACCCCAGUUUUAACACUAAACACUAACAACAUGUGGUAUAUAUACUAUUAGUUUGCAGUUAGUGACUCAAAUGAAUGGGGACACAGUUAACAGGAGAUUGUGAUUGAUUUCAAGUUUGAAGUCACAACUUGAUUUCACAUCUUUUAGACUUUUAGCAUAUUCAAAGAGAUGGUUGCCAAAACAAAAAGGUGUGGCGCGGCUUUUUUUUUUUUUUUUUUGUAUUGUACUUGAACAGAUGGUAGACUUCUCCUCAGGGAAUUUGACAAAAUAUUUUUAAAGAGCUCCCAGUCUGCAACGGACUCACUACCAAAGGCUACCACAUGGUCAUGGAGUACAUCUUGGUAAAGUUUCAUGGUUCUAGUUUUAAAUCAGUAGAAAGAAGGAAGCCAGUGAAAACGGCUUAGAUAUUUUUCAGUAUGUUUAAUAUGAUUCACUUACUCAAAAAAUAGCAGUUUUUUAAAAAUGUGUACAAUAAAAUUGUGACUUGGAAGUAAAACAGGAAGUAGAUGAAAGGGAACAGAAUAGAGACAAACACUUAAAAAGGUUCAAGAUGUAACUAGGGAGCCUAGACUGCACUAGAAUAAAGUAACAAAAAUAAAUAAUGCAAAGUAAGAGGUAAAGAAAAUCUGAACUCUAAAAUGAGGGUUCAAAGCAAAACUCAAGGAACAAAAG